UUUAACUCUAACUUUCCACUGCCUACCCCAGUCCUAUAAAGCUGCCCCUCUCUUAUCUCCCUUCACUGACUGUCUUUUUGGACUCAGCCCACUUGCAUCCGAGUGAAUAAACAGCCUUGCUGCUUACACAAAGCCUGUUUAGGUGGUCUUCUAUAUGGACACGCAUGACAAUAUUUACAACAAAUACCAAGGAAGAGCUAAGAGCACAUAGCAUUUCCCAGGCUUAUUAGACUGUGGGAUCAACCUCUUUAAGAAAGCAUUUUGCAGAAUUGUUGUUCACAGGUCAUUCUGCAGUGUGAAGUUUUUUUUGCAAUAAGAUCCUUACUCUAGAGUUAACUUCACUAGGAAGUACACUCUGGGUGUUUACCUUUAGAGCUUCAGUUUCUACAAGAAUUUGGCACCGGUUGGGUCUUGUAGAAAUAUUUACUGCAUGGAGUUGAAAGAAGAGUCUGGACUGGGAGAAGGAUGUAUGGAUAAAGAACAAGACCCAGAAUCCGUAGCCAGCAUGAUGAGUUCAGAGACCUGGCCCCUACCCUGGGAGUAGCACAUUCAGUCAGAGAGGUUUAGGUGGAUUCAUCCAAAUACUUUAAUCCCAGAGCUCUGUCCUACAAAAACCAACAGGCUUGCUCAACUGUAGCAGUCAACAAGAAUUCAUGGUGCUUGGUUGGACUGCAUACAUAUUAUCUUUUUCCUUUAGAAAGCUGUGAAUUCCUUGGCUGUUUUAUUUUUGAAAUAAAUGUGUCAAUUCCAUUUUUCUGCCAUUUCUGCUACUUCUUUUCUCUAUAGAAACCUGGAUUUGUUACUGAGCUUUAGGUAUAAAACAGGUUUAUUAAGCUUAAUUGUUUUACUAUUACCAUAGUAACCAUUGUAUUUCCGUCACAGUAACUCUGAACUGUAAGCCAGUAAGCCAUUGGUCCUGAUGGUAAAGAUAGAAACCCACCUCCCUGCACCUCAGAUUCUACACCUCAGAGAAUUUCCAGGCUCUAAUUCCUUCAAUUAUGCCCCUUCUUUCUAGCAUUUUAAGUGCCCCUCUCUGAUUUUUUUUCAAACUCACACCAUGGUGGUCUUGAUUCAACAAUGAAGUCACAGUAGGCAUUGCAGUGGUUAUUUUAUGAAUCCACACAAUUUACAGAUUGCUCCUGAUAAAGCUCUAAAGAGUUUUCACAAUGUGUUUAUUCUGAAAACUACUCUCUACAUAGCCCAGUAUUUUUCCAAUACAAAUAAAUUUUAACCAACAUUACAACAACAAAAAAUUUUGAUGUGCAUUGAAAUAGCUAGUCAAAUUGGCCUCACAGUAGCAAUAAAAUAAUCUGAGAUAAUAGUUUUGUUUGAUUUUUUAUUUCAUGCAUAAUUUAUUUACGAGUAAGCAACAUAUAUUUUACAUUGUUCCUCAUGUCAUUGUAUGUUUUAAUACUGUGAAGUUUACUCUGAACUCUUUGGAUCCCAAUCUUAAAUCUAAUCAAAUCAAAAUAAAUAUAUAGAACAGCUCAAUAUAUGACACAUAGUAGGCACUUAAUAAAUAGUACCUAUUUUAUUAACAUGAUUAUUUCCUUUUUAAUAUUAUUAUGUGAAUAUAUUCUAGAUAGAAACUUUUAGAAUCUUAUUACCAAUUAUAUGUGUUAAGUCAAGUUUAGCCUAAAGAUGCCUCCUUCCAUAUUUUAAGUUCAACCUAAAAGUUUCUCUGUACAUUGUGAACUAUAACCUACACAGAGGUGUAAACAGACUGUAGUCUACUCUUGUGCCAAUCAAUCACUGAGCUUUGGUUCAUCAAAGGUGGUCAAUGUUCAAAUCAUGUUCAAAUAAGGCAAAUGCCGAGCUGUAAACAAUAUGGCUGUUUCUGUACCUCACAUCCACUUUCUGUAUCACUUUCCUUUUUCUGUCCAUAAAUCUUCUUCCCCCAUGUAGCUACACUGGAGUCUCAGUGAGCCUGCUCUGGCUUGGGAGAUUGCCCAAUUCAUGAAUUGUUCUUUGCUAAAUUAAACUUUGUUAAAUUUAAUUUGACUAAGCGUUUUUUGUUUUGUUUUGUUUUUUCCUCAUGGUAAGGGCAUAGAAAUGCAGAGGGCAAACCCAAUAAAGAGAGGAAUCAGAUAUGGGAGAAAAUAGUUUUAGAUACAAUGAAAAAUUGAAAUAAUAGUUAACUCUUAACACUUGAAGUUCUCAUAGUAUGACGGUAGGUAAGAAACCAUGGAGAGGAAUUGUUCUGAGGGAUUUCUCAUCGUCAUUCAUGUAGCCGUUGAAUUUGUAAAAAUGUAUUCUAUUUUCAGAUGCUAAAACUAAGGAUCAGAGCUAUCAGGGAAAUAAGGCAGCCAGUGAAAAACUGAACUAAGUCUGAAACAGAUUUGUCUUAUGCCCAAGUCCAAAGCAUAACUUAGCCCUGGAGCAACAGAGUGAGUUAUCUGUGCAAGCACCUCACCAUGUCAACUCUGGGGGCAACUCUGUCAGUCUCUCCUGCAAAUUGGGGCAUGAGGAAGAGUCUGUUUAAUCUGCAAUAGUAUCCAAGAGGCAAUGAUUGGGUACAAAUCAUCAAUAGUGACAAUUCCUCUCUAAGGUAGGUUUCUAGUUGGAUACAACAGCAAUCAGUAUCAGCUGAACAAUGAUCAUUUACACUGAAUAGUGAAACAGUACCACUGGAAAAAUCAUCAGGUUUAUAGACCAGCAAGCUGAGUGCGUAAAAUGUUACUGUAAUGAUCCAUGCCAAAGUCUCUCUAUAAUCCAUGCCAAAGUCUCUCUUCUGUCAGUUAUCUGUUUGUCUAUAUCACUCUACAACAUAUUAUGCCCUGUGGGACAAUGGCUUUGUGUUCAGAUGACACAUGCUCAGCCAAACAGUGUUAAAUACGUUUCUCAACACUGAAAUUCUCUGGCAUCCUUAAUAGCUAUAUAUCCACAAUGUGAAGCAAUUUUCUAAAUUUUGUGAGAAGAACACCUGUGAAAUAUUGUUAGAGGAUGUGUAUUCAUUGCUCAGAAACAGAAAUCCUCCUUCAAUAUUUG
rnacentral:lncRNA from 1 species